rnacentral:rRNA from 1 species
CAGUCGCCACGGUAAUACGGAGGGAGCUAGCGUUGUUCGGAAUUACUGGACGUAAAGCGCGCGUAGGCGGUUACUCAAGUCAGAGGUGAAUGCCCGGGGCUCGACCCCGGAACUGCCUUUGAAACUAGGUGACUAGAAUCUUGGAGAGGUCAGUGGAAUUCCGAGUGUAGAGGUGAAAUUCGUAGAUAUUCGGAAGAACACCAGUGGCGAAGGCGACUUACUGGACAAGUAUUGACGCUGAGGUGCGAAAGCGUGGGGAGCAAACAGGAUUAGAUACCCCAGUAGUCCCUGUCUCUUAUAC